rnacentral:rRNA from 1 species
AACGAACGCUGGCGGCAGGCUUAACACAUGCAAGUCGAGCGCCCCGCAAGGGGAGCGGCAGACGGGUGAGUAACGCGUGGGAAUCUACCCAUCUCUACGGAAUAACGCAUGGAAACGUGUGCUAAUACCGUAUAUGUCCUUCGGGCGAAAGAUUUAUCGGAGAUGGAUGAGCCCGCGUUGGAUUAGCUAGUUGGUGGGGUAAAGGCCUACCAAGGCGACGAUCCAUAGCUGGUCUGAGAGGAUGAUCAGCCACACUGGGACUGAGACACGGCCCAGACUCCUACGGGAGGCAGCAGUGGGGAAUAUUGGACAAUGGGCGCAAGCCUGAUCCAGCCAUGCCGCGUGAGUGAUGAAGGCCCUAGGGUUGUAAAGCUCUUUCACCGGUGAAGAUAAUGACGGUAACCGGAGAAGAAGCCCCGGCUAACUUCGUGCCAGCCGCCGCGGUAAAAC